rnacentral:rRNA from 1 species
AUGGAAAACUGGGCAAAACCACGUACGUGGCACACGCCGCGUACACGGACCCUUACACGGAGCCGUGAACGGGCUGUACGUGGACACGGGAAAAAAGUGCCCGACGGCCGUCGUGGACGGAAGUUGACGCGCGCCAUGGAAAACUGGGCAAAACCACGUACGUGGCACACGCCGCGUAUACGGACCCUUACACGGACCCGUGAACGGGCUGUACGUGGACACGGGAAAAAAGUGCCCGACGGCCGUCGUGAACGGAAGUUGACGCGCGCCAUGGAAAACUGGUCAAAACCAUGUACGUGGCACACGCCGCGUACACGGACCCGUACACGGACCCGUGAACGGGUAUGA